rnacentral:misc_RNA from 1 species
GAUGAAGAACGCAGCGAAAUGCGAAAAGUAGUGUGAAUUGCAGAAUUCAGUGAAUCAUCGAAUCUUUGAACGCACAUUGCGCCCCUUGGUAUUCCAUGGGGCAUGCCUGUUCGAGCGUCAUUUGUACCUUCAAGCCUUGCUUGGUGUUGGGUGUUUGUCUCGCCUCUGCGCGCAGACUCGCCUCAAAACAAUUGGCAGCCGGCGUAUUGAUUUCGGAGCGCAGUACAUCUCGCGCUUUGCACUCAGAACGACGACGUCCAAAAGUACAUUUUUACACUCUUGACCUCGGAUCAGGUAGGGAUACCCGCUGAACUUAAGCAUAUCAAUAAGCGGAGGA